AUCUCAUCAACUGCUUAAUUGCGGUCGGAUAUGGGUCUUUUGAGGCUUCACAGUCCCAAUGACCUGAAAUCAAAUGUUACGCUUCCUUGAACCACCAGUUCUCGGGCAUACGCAUGAAUGGGGCAACUCACACGUACGUUUGUUCUCACGAACUGUCGGUUGUACCGGAGUCUGUAACUCAACCAUUACCCAGAGAAGGUUGACACCAGUCGACUUUCCCUGAAC
rnacentral:misc_RNA from 1 species